CGGAUCAGGUAGGAAUACCCGCUGAACUUAA
rnacentral:rRNA from 5 species